rnacentral:rRNA from 1 species
UGCGUAGGUGGCAAGCGUUAUCCGGAAUUACUGGGCGUAAAGCGUGCGCAGGCGGUUGUGCAAGACCGAUGUGAAAUCCCCGGGCUUAACCUGGGAAUGGCAUUGGUGACUGCACGGCUAGAGUGUGUCAGAGGGGGGUAGAAUUCCACGUGUAGCAGUGAAAUGCGUAGAGAUGUGGAGGAAUACCGAUGGCGAAGGCAGCCCCCUGGGAUAACACUGACGCUCAUGCACGAAAGCGUGGGGAGCAAACAGG